GUACACUGAUCAAGCUAUUAAUAAAUUCCUGAGAGAGGGAAUGCUCAAAUUUGCUGUUAAGUAUGUUAAGAAUUAGGUUCUGUUCAUCACCUCCCUUCCUCCUUGUGGUCCUCUAUCAAUCGACUUCACAAAGUGACCACUACCCAAGUUACUUAGAGCCAAUCAUUUAUUCACUAUCAGUUUAUAUUGUCUGUC